rfam:Nitrospirae bacterium 13_1_40CM_2_62_10 13_1_40cm_2_scaffold_19771, whole genome shotgun sequence.
GGGGGUGACAGGCUUCGACGGGGAUCAAGAGGUCAGCGGUGCAUGUCGAGCUCUCGGGGUCUCGUAAAACCUCCGGGAAACAAGCAACUGCCAACACAGAGCUGGCACUCGCGGCUUAAUUGACCGCGACGUCCCUCCACCUGAGGCCUGCGGGGGUGGAAGGGGCGCGAUGCAGCAGGCUGGUCCGAGGCUGGUGCUCAGCGGCUGAGGACGAGAACGCACUGGGCUAGCGGCCGUUCUAAGCCUGCCGAUGGGCGUGGGCGGCGGCGAAACUAAAACGAUCGGCUAAACAUGUAGAGCCGUUGCGCUGAAGUUCUUCGGACGCGGGUUCAAACCCCGCCACCUCCACCA